rnacentral:rRNA from 1 species
AUUGAACGCUGGCGGCAGGCCUAACACAUGCAAGUCGAACGAGUGGCGGACGGGUGAGUAAUGUCUGGGAAAAUGCCUGAUGGAGGCGGAUAAGUACUGGAAACGGUUGCUAAUACCGUAUACAAUCCGAUGUGCCCAGUCGGGAUUAGCUAGUAGGUGGGGUAACUGCUCACCUAGGCGACGAUCCCUAGCUGGUCUGCGAGGAUGACCAGCCACACGUGAACUGAGACACGGUCCAGACUCCUACGGUAGGCAGCAGUGGGGAAUAUUGGACAAUGGUCGCAAGCCUGAUGCAGCCAUGCCGCUUGUAUGAAGAAGGCCUUCGGGUUGUAAAGUACUUUCAGCGGGGAGGCGUUACCCACAGAAGAAGCACCGGCUAACUCCGUGCCAGCAGCCGCGGUAAUAC